rnacentral:rRNA from 1 species
GAUCGGAGUCUGCAACCCGACUCCGUGAAGCUGGAUUCGCUAGUAAUCGCGCAUCAGCCAUGGCGCGGUGAAUACGUUCCCGGGCCUUGUACACACCGCCCGUCAAGCCAUGGGAGCCGGGGGUGCUUGAAGUGCGUCGCCGCAAGGCGCGCCCUAGAGCAAAACCGGUGACUGGGGCUAAGUCGUAACAAGGUAAC